AGAGUUUGAUCCUGGCUCAGGAUGAACGCUAGCGGCAGGCCUAACACAUGCAAGUCGAGGGGUAACAUAGUAGCUUGCUACUGAUGACGACCGGCGCACGGGUGCGCACCGCGUAUGGAACCUACCUUUUACAGGGGAAUAGCCUUUGGAAACGAAGAUUAAUGCCCCAUAGUAUCCUUAUACAGCAUUGUAUUUUGAUUAAAGCCUUCGGGCGGUAGAAGAUGGCCAUGCGUCCCAUUAGUUUGUUGGUAAGGUAACGGCUUACCAAGACUACGAUGGGUAGGGGCCCUGAGAGGGGGAUCCCCCACACUGGUACUGAGACACGGACCAGACUCCUACGGGAGGCAGCAGUGAGGAAUAUUGGACAAUGGAGGAGACUCUGAUCCAGCCAUGCCGCGUGCAGGAAGAAUGCCCUAUGGGUAGUAAACUGCUUUUAUACAGGAAGAAAAAGAGCUACGUGUAGCUUAUUGACGGUACUGUAAGAAUAAGGACCGGCUAACUCCGUGCCAGCAGCCGCGGUAAUACGGAGGGUCCGAGCGUUAUCCGGAAUUAUUGGGUUUAAAGGGUCCGUAGGCGGGCGAUUAAGUCAGUGGUGAAAGUCUGCAGCUCAACUGUAGAAUUGCCUUUGAUACUGGUCGUCUUGAGUUAUAGUGAAGUUGCCGGAAUAUGUAGUGUAGCGGUGAAAUGCAUAGAUAUUACAUAGAACACCGAUUGCGAAGGCAGGUGACUAACUAUAUACUGACGCUGAUGGACGAAAGCGUGGGGAGCGAACAGGAUUAGAUACCCUGGUAGUCCACGCCGUAAACGAUGGAUACUAGCUGUUCGGAAUUUAUUCUGAGUGGCUAAGCGAAAGUGAUAAGUAACCCACCUGGGGAGUACGUUCGCAAGAAUGAAACUCAAAGGAAUUGACGGGGGCCCGCACAAGCGGUGGAGCAUGUGGUUUAAUUCGAUGAUACGCG
rnacentral:rRNA from 1 species